rfam:Aeromonas diversa 2478-85 Contig 17, whole genome shotgun sequence.
AAAAAGGCGGCUUUCGCCGCCAAACACAGAGUCUACUUGAGUACUU